rnacentral:lncRNA from 1 species
CGUUCUUUUUCCUCUCGCGGUCCCCAGGAGCCCAGGCACCCCUCGACGCCGCUGCCGGCGGAACCGGGAACCCUCCCCGGGGCUCCCUGCGGGCCCGAAGCCGCCUUCCCGAGGCGGCGGAGUUGGGCAGCUCCGGGCCCCGCGCCGCCCCGCGCCGCCCCGCGGAGCCGGAGUUUCUCUCCGGAGUCUGGACACAGCUCUCCGCUUCGUCGCCGCGCACUGGACCCCGGUAGCGUGGAGCCUGCCCGGGAAGCUGGGCUGCGCCGGCCUGGGGCGAAGGUCCAAGGGGCGCGGGGGCCGGGACGCGGGGCUGUGGCGACGACCGGCCCUCUGCGAACGCUCAGGCCGGCGGGUCCGGGGCCACAGGCUGGGAGUGGAGCUGGCGGCCACUGGGGAGUAGAGAGGACGCCCAGGAACAGGUGCACCAGGGUCCCGGCGGCUGGGCCGAGGGUCGCAAGCAGAGGGGACCGGCGGCUGCCAGCAAGUCCCAAGCAGAUGCCUCCGGCGGGGCAGCCGCAUUUUACAGCGCCCAUUCCGCGUACAUCGAGUAUCCAAAACGAGUAAAAUCGGUUUAUACGUUGGAAUGUAGCUUAUGAUUCCAAAAUCUCAUCUCCAGGCUGCCUAGAUCACACGGCCCCGUUUCAUUCAUUUUUACUGAAUAACGGUCGUUGGACAAUUUAGAGAAGCAGCAGAAACCACGAGAAAAACAGUGGAGUCAAACGGCGGUAAGGACCGACAAGGCUGGCGGGGACAUUGAGCAAACGGCGGCUUCUGAGUUGGCACCUGUCCUUCACCACGUUGUGUGGGAAGUGUGGGGAGUCGGGAUUCCCACUCCUCCCCAGCCUUCCGGAAAAAUGCUCGGAAAUUUCCUUCCACAUUGACACCUGAUUACAGUCUAAAUAGUAACCUUAUUCUGAUUGUUAAUGUAACCCUCUCGUAAUCUCUACAAAAAUACUUUAGUUUUUCUAGCUGUGUUUUCAUGUAAUCACUGAAAUUAUUUUUAAUUGGUUUUAAGCAUUCAUUGAUUCCAUUUACACCACCUGCAAAAAAGUUACAUAGGUGAUCGCUAACAAUACUAGAAUUCGCCCCAUCCAAAGGAAACAUUAGAGUAGAAAAAGAAAAAGGAUUUGAGAAUCCAGUAGGAAAUUCAGUUAAUCAUUCCUUCCCUGUUACUCAACUACCUUAACAUUGUCAGGUUUACCUGAACAUAAACUUCAUUUUCUUAAUUGUUCUUAGAACGAAGGGAUAUGUUUAUUGAAAUCAGUAAUUAAGAAUAUUUUGGGACAGUUAUGAUUUACUUAGCCAGUGAAGCAGUUUCUAUUCCCAAAUCCAGGCAAAGAGAACAAUAAGAUUAAACGUAACCUAAGAGAUUUCCUUUUUGUCAAAUAAUGUGAUUUUGCUAUGUAUAGAGGAGAUGUCUAUAUGUAAGGGCAUAUUUAUGACCAGUAGUUCCUAAAAUUAAGGGGACUAUUAUUGUGUUACUCAAGGUAUCAGUUGUAUAGGAUACAUUAUGUCAUAUUUCAAACAAUGUUUAUAAAGAGAUUAGUAUAAUUAACCUGUGUGUACUUCUCCUCUGGGCCAACCUUGUGUCUUCUUUAUCUGCUGACAGUCCUCUCCCCACUGAAUUAUUUUGAAUCAAAUCCCAGAUAGUCUAUCAUUGUAUUGUAUUUUUGAAUAUUUCUCUAAAAGAUAAUAAUUCCAUCAAUGAGACUGGGUGCAGUGGCUCCUCCCUGUAAUCCCAGCUCUUUGGGAGGCAGAGGUUGGAGGAUCACUUUAGGCCAGGAGUUCAAGACCACCCUGAGCAACAUAGCAAGACCCCAUUUAUAAAAAAGAAGAUUCCCAUCAACGUAACCACAAUACCAUUAUCACACCUAAAUAAUCCAUUAAUAGCAUCGGUUUAUCCAGGCAAUAUUUAAAUAUCUUCAAUUGUCUAAAAACUUUUUGUUUAGUUGGUCGGUUUGAAUUAGAAUGCUAAUAAGGGUUACGUAUUGUGUUUGGUUGAUAUGGGCUAUUAUAUCUCUUUUAGAUUUCCUCAAUCCUCUUUUUUUGUUUCCCUUGCAUUUUUUAUGGGAGAAACUGAACGGUUUGUUCUGAAGAAGUUGACAUUCUGGACUUUGUAGCUGCAGGCGCUGUUGUAGGAGCAAGGUAUACAAUGAUGAUCAAGGCAGAUGCAGCCCUUACCUUCAGGUCGUGGAGUCCGGAUACAGACUGGAGGCAGAGGCAGCUGUAAGAUGUGUGACAAAUGCUGCGCUGGAUCAGCCCAUGGUAUUAGGAGAGCAGCCUCCCAAAGUGCUGGGAUUGCAGGUGCGAGCCACCGGGUCCAGCCUCUCAGGCGAUUUUCAUACCUGCAUACUCUGAUCACUACGCUGUUAAACAGUCAAGGAGGGUAAGUAUUAUCUUCAGAUUUCCAGAGCUCUGUCUCUGUACAGCCCUCUCCUCCUCAAUAUUCUGCCCUAUGAAUUCUAGCCACAUUGGCCUUCCCAGACUCACAGUUCUGUCUUCUCAACUCAGGAAGAUCUCUGAGCUCCAUCUGCAUUCUUUCUUCCUGUGCUGUGGCUUGGAAAGUUUUCUAAGGUGUUUGGGAGGUCAAUUGUGGGGCUAGCCUCAUUUGUUUCUCAUCUCUUGAGGAUCACUGCCCUUUGAUGCUUGAUUCCAGUGAUUGAUUCCCUUUGUUGCUUGAGGGCCAUAGUUUCAUAUAUUUUGUCCAGUAUUUUUGUUGUUUUAGGUCAGAAAGUAAUUUUGGUCUCUGUUACUCCAUCUUGGCCAGAAGUGUAAGACCUAAGCAUUUACACAUCAAAAUACUGCACACAUAAUUUUAGUUUAAGCUACUUUUAAAAAAAUCUGCUUCAUUUUCCAUUAAGCAUUCUAUUUAGGGUAUUACAUUGUUUUUUUUGAAAUUCUGUUAUUGGCAGUUUCUAUUGCCUAUCAAUCCCAUUUAAAGAUAGUGCAUAGGGUAUUCUAAAAUAGCUGUUAAGCAAAGAGAAAAUUGGGCCUGAUAGGGUGAGAAUCACAGCUCUAAUACCUAGAGUGACCUUAUAAUGUAUUGUCCAAAGGAGAUAUUUUUGACAGUGAAAGAGGGUGUUGUUAGUAAUUAUAUCAGGACCAUGGCCUAAACCAGGACUAUCCCAGGCAGCCUGGGACAUAUUUGUACCCCAUCUCUAUUUAAUGCCUUUAUACAAUUCUUAAUUCUACCAGCCUUUAUUGAGCCUGCUUUCUUUGUCUAGCUGAGUGCCACGUGCUGACAUCACUAAGAUCAAUACAGCAAACUCUGAAAGAUGGACGGAGAGACAGGAGAUGGUCCUUUAUAAUGCAGUGUGAUCUGUGCUGCAAUAGAGUUUUGGAAGCUAGAAGUUCAAAACGAGGUGUUGGCAGCACCAUGCUCUCUCUGAAGAUGCUAGGAAGAAUCUGCUCCAUGCCUUUCCAUUCGCUUCUGGGGUUUCCUGCAAGCCCUGACAUUCCUUGGCUUGUAGAUACACCACCCCAGUUUCCGCCCCCAUCAUCACAUGGCCUCCUCUCUGUGUGUGCCUCUGCGUUCCCUCUAUUCUUCUUCUAAGGACACCGACACCAGUCAUAGUGGAUUAAGGGUCCACUCCUAACCAAUUACAUCUGCAACAACCCUAUUUCCAAAUAAAGUCACAUUCUAAGA